rnacentral:rRNA from 1 species
UACGUAGGGUGCAAGCGUUAAUCGGAAUUACUGGGCGUAAAGCGUGCGCAGGCGGUGAUGUAAGACAGGUGUGAAAUCCCCGGGCUUAACCUGGGAACUGCAUUUGUGACUGCAUCGCUGGAGUGCGGCAGAGGGGGAUGGAAUUCCGCGUGUAGCAGUGAAAUGCGUAGAUAUGCGGAGGAACACCGAUGGCGAAGGCAAUCCCCUGGGCCUGCACUGACGCUCAUGCACGAAAGCGUGGGGAACAAACAGG